rnacentral:rRNA from 1 species
UACGUAGGGUGCAAGCGUUGUCCGGAAUUAUUGGGCGUAAAGAGCUUGUAGGCGGUUUGUCGCGUCUGCUGUGAAAUUUCGGGGCUCAACCCCGAACUUGCAGUGGGUACGGGCAGACUAGAGUGUGGUAGGGGGAGACUGGAAUUCCUGGUGUAGCGGUGAAAUGCGCAGAUAUCAGGAGGAACACCGAUGGCGAAGGCAGGUCUCUGGGCCACUACUGACGCUGAGGAGCGAAAGCGUGGGGAGCGAACAGG